GGUGCGAGCAAAACAAGCGGGAGCGCGCACCGGACUCUCCUUGUAUUGCAGAUCAGCGGCGCUUGCGCUGUCCAUGCAGCUGCCGUGACUUCCCUCAGAGACUGGCGUCAACACACCCGUGGACACACCCCUACGAGUAUCAGUGUGAAGGCAGGGCAGCAGAGUGAAACCUGUGCUUGGGUUCCAUCCGGGUUCACCGGCUUCCUCCCACCUCCUAAAUGGUCCCUAGUGUGUGAAUGUUGUCUAUCUGUGUUGGCCCUGUGAUGAGGUGGUGACUUGUCCAGGUGUACCCCGCCUUCCACCCAAAUGUAGCUGGAAUAGGCUCCAGCACCAUCCGCCACCUCGAGAAGGACAAGCGGUAGGAAAUGGAUGGAUGGAUGGACGAUGGAUAUGGUGGAUGCAGGAUUAUUCCUAAUGACUGAUACUGUACCUAAGAUGAAUAUGAAAUACUGCAAAGUUGUAUUGCCUUGAUCCAAACAAUGAUGUCAAGCUAACACAAAAUGCUGACUGUGCUUGUUUUCGAAGUGAUGGGCGUGGUCCGAAACACCUCUUUAUCUCCAAUAGGGAAAGAUGGCGGCGAAUGUCUUCAGGUUUUUUUCGCCACAAGACCGACAAGCUCCUCGUCUGAGGAAUUUCCAUUCACACUGCCCUCAGCCGAGACCCCCCACACACACACACACUUGUAUUCUUUACCGUCUUGAGACCGGCGAAUAAUGUCUCCCUCUUUAGGACCAGUAUUUUUAGAUAUGUAACGAUGUGUAUUUACAACAUUAAUAAUAUAUACAUACUAUGCAAAUAUAAAAAAGCUUGUUGUGAAAAAAUAGUUGGAAUUUCACAGGAAAAAGGUCAUAAAUUGUCACAAGAAAAACUUAGAACUUUGGCAGUGUUAUAAAACGAGUCUUCAUUUUACUCAAUGCAAGUCAAAAUGUUACAAGAUUAUGUUGAUAGUAUAUAUUUGUACCAUGAAUUGAUUUACGUGGACCCUGACUUAAACAAGUUGAAAAACUUAUUGGGGUGUUACCAUUUAGUGGUCAAUUGUACUGAAUAUGUACUGUACUGUAAAAUCUACUAAUAAAAGUUUCAAUCAAUCAAUCAAAAAGAAAAACCAAACAUUUGUGCAGUAUUAUGAAGUUGGAAUUUUACUGCGAUGAGGUGGCGACUUGUCCCGGGUGUACACCGCCUUCCGCCCGAAUGCAGCUGAGAUAGACUCCAGCGACCCCAAAAGGGACAAGCGGUAGAAAAUGGAUGGAUGGAAGUUGUAAUUUUACUCAAUAACAGUUGCAAUUUUACAAGAAAAGCUUGAAAUGUUGGCAAUUGUAUGAAAAGAGUCAUCAUACUCGACAAGAGUCACAAUUUCAGAAAAUUUAAAAAUGUUGGCAAUACUAUAAAAAUAAUCGGAAAUUUACAUGGCAAAAUUAUGACAAAAGUCAUUUUACUCCAAAAAUGUCACUAUUUUACAAGAACAACAAAAAAAUUGGCAAUAUUGUGAUUCAAGUACAU